rnacentral:lncRNA from 10 species
CAAUGGCACGAUCUUGGCUCACUGUAACCUCUGUCUCCCGGGUUUAAGCGAUUCUCCUGCCUCAGCCUCCCGAGUAGCUGGGAUUACAGGCGCCUGCCACAACGCCCGGCUAAUUUUUUGUAUUUUUAGUAGAGGCGGGGUUUCGCCCUAUUGGCCAGGCUGGUCUCGAACGCCUGACCUCAGGUGAUCCACCCGCUUCGGCCUCCCAAAGUGCUGGGAUUACAGGCGUGAGCCACCGUGCCCGCCCCAUACCACUCUUUCUUGAACACUCUGACUGUCCCUGGCCCCUACUCAGGGACUAAACCUUACCCUUUCAAGGCUUGCUUUUAUGCCCUGGCCAUCCACAACUUCUCUAGCCUUGAAGCCUUCCCCUCAAGGAACUUGGUCUAGUGGGAGUCUGACUCUCACGGGUCAUGAAUGCGGCUAAAACAAAGUGCCCCACGAGCUCAAGAGAGCACAAACUCCACAAAGAAGUAAUUCCACCCG